CAGUCGCCGCGGUAAUACGAAGGGUGCAAGCGUUACUCGGAAUUACUGGGCGUAAAGCGUGCGUAGGUGGUUGUUUAAGUCUGCUGUGAAAGCCCUGGGCUCAACCUGGGAAUUGCAGUGGAUACUGGGCAACUAGAGUAAGGUAGAGGAUAGUGGAAUUUCCGGUGUAGCAGUGAAAUGCGUAGAGAUCGGGAGGAACAUCAGUGGCGAAGGCGGCCAUCUGGGACAACACUGACGCUGAGGCACGAAAGCGUGGGGAGCAAACAGGAUUAGAUACCCCCGUAGUCCCUGUCUCUUAUAC
rnacentral:rRNA from 1 species